rnacentral:rRNA from 1 species
CCUACGGGGGGCUGCAGUGGGGAAUCUUCCGCAAUGGGCGAAAGCCUGACGGAGCAACGCCGCGUGAGUGAAGAAGGUCUUCGGAUCGUAAAGCUCUGUUGCCGGGGACGAAUGUAGGCAGUGCAAACAGCAUUGUGUAAUGACGGUACCCGGCGAGGAAGCCACGGCUAACUACGUGCCAGCAGCCGCGGUAAUACGUAGGUGGCGAGCGUUGUCCGGAAUUAUUGGGCGUAAAGGGAGCGCAGGCGGGCGAGUAAGUCUUUCUUAAAAGUGCGGGGCUCAACCCCGUGAGGGGAGGGAAACUACUCAUCUUGAGUGCAGGAGAGGAAAGCGGAAUUCCUAGUGUAGCGGUGAAAUGCGUAGAUAUUAGGAAGAACACCAGUGGCGAAGGCGGCUUUCUGGACUGUAACUGACGCUGAGGCUCGAAAGCCAGGGGAGCGAACGGGAUUAGAUACCCUUGUAGUC